rnacentral:misc_RNA from 1 species
CCUCUCUGUUGCGCUCCAUAGAUACAGACAGGCGAGCUUAUACACCCGCUAUCAUUCUCGUCGGUGGCGUUGGCAACCAAGUGACGCAAGGGGUUGGCGUUACGUAGGCUCUCUUUGUUGCGUUGUUUUUCAUCCACACACACAUAUCCACAGUCACUUACUCCACCCCUUGUCUACGCACCUCUGUCUUCAUGAGGCGACGUGUCGUUGAUACAGAGGGCGGCGCGGUGCAUGUCAGUGGCUCCGCACCAACUUGGCGAGGCCGGCGGUCCCGGCGCGCCUUCUUCUCUCUCUUGCUGCUCUCCAUCGCGCUGUCCGCUAUGAUAUGUUCCCUGCUUGUCCUGGGCUGGAUCGCAGCCGAUGACUCGACUACUGUUUUCGGCGACGACUUCGCAGCCAGCGACGCUUGGUUGAACUCCAAUAGCAACCAAGAGAAGUGGCAGAGAGCACUACUCCAGUCUGCGAAACUCAACCUCCCCGUCCCUCACAGCGUAGCCAUGAAUCAAGUCUUCUUCAUCAGCUGCAAUCGGCAUGAUCGCAGUCAGCUCUACUGGGCCUAUAUGGCAGUUGCAGCACAGUGUGAGAUGCUGUCCUGGAAGAAUGCUACGGCGGCGCCGCCUUGUCGGAGGCUCUACGCCGGUGUGUCCUCGUUGCUACGCACCGCCGGUACCGCCGCCUCUUCAGGUGGGCCGCACGGACGCACGACAGACACGGAUGAAGGAAAAUGGCAGGAGGCGGUUCCUCUCGGUGCAUGCGGCUCCGUGUACGACUCUCCCGCGGCAGCGGAGCAGCGUCAGCGAUACCGGCGGACCUCGCCGCCGCUGCUGCUGUUGGAUGAGACUCCGCCUCCGCUUCACCGCGACACCGACCCUGAGCAGUGCUUUCGUGCUGCACCACGUGACGCCGUCUACUCAACCGGCGUUCCGGUGGACGCCUUGAUCUGGCUAGGGGACAUCAUCUACGCCGACAAGUUCCCGGAUGGCAGGGACGCGCAGUCGCUCCUGUUCCACCACGUCAAUACAAUGGUAAGCAUAGGGCGAUUCUGGCGAAUCCAGCGCGACGCUCCGGAGUACAACGCGUUCAUCGACAGCUGCGUCGCAGGUGGCGAUCAUCUGGACUGGACGCUGCACUCACCAGGGGAAGUGUUUCUGCCCGCAGCCGCGGACAAUCGCGAGCGAGUUGUGCAACUCACCCCUUCGCCCUCCUCCGGCACUCACCGCAAUGUGUGGGCCACCUGGGAUGACCACGACAUGGGCGAGAACGAUGGUGGACGAGAGUACACCGGCCGUAACAGCACGCAGCGCUUCUUUCUGAACUUUUUGCGAGCCCCCUCAAGUGAUCCACGCUGGCGUCGCGAGGGCGUGUAUGGUGCAUACACGACCGACUUUCGCGACGUCGUGGACGACGCCAAGGGGUGGGGAACUCCAAUGCGGCUCCUGAUGCAGCAGCUUUAUGAGCAUGCCAUCUGCGUUGUCCUCCUCGACGUUCGCUCGUUCCGCGACCGCCCGAACGCGACCCAGGCCGGCGACAUGCUCGGCGCUGAGCAGUGGGCGUGGUUUGAGGAGCUCCUGCAGAACUACACGACACUGACGCGAGACGGGCGAGAGCGGUGUGCGAUGGUGCUCAUAGGGGGCGGCAUUCAGUUCAUCCUGGAUGAGAAGCCCGCAGAAAACUGGGCAGCCUUCCCCCGCUCUCGGGACCGCCUCCUCGGACUACUGCAAGCCUACCGGGUCGAACGCGUGGCCUUCAUCACCGGCGAUGUGCACAUGGGUGAGCUGGGCGCCGACUUCACCAAGCACGCCAUUGAGGAGGUGCUGGGGUACCCAAUAGUGGAGGCCACGAGCUCGGGGUUGACACACAGUGCGAACAUGUACUUUCUCCCCACAUUCAUGCCACUGCUCUUCCCCAGCCCACGGCGUCUCGGCCUCUAUGUGGGGACGAACUUCGGUGCGUUGAGGCUCUCCCUGGACCUGCGUCACCUGCCUUUGAUCCGCUCAUACUUGACAGAGAUGGAGGCGAAGAUGGCGGCGGCACGCUUUCGGCCACCACAGUGGCGCCGGGAAGUCCGCGCUGCCGUUGAGCAAGUCGUUAAUGCUACUUUCACCAUCUUCUCCAUCCCAAAAGGCGGCCAACCAGUGUACCGGCUAAACUUCCCUCUCUCUAUGCUCACCUACGCGCACGGUGUAGCGUAUCGCGACGCCACAGUAGAUGCGGUGCAUGGGAGUGUGCACAAGAAGCCAACGUCAUCCCCAGCGGCGCCGGAAAAGAACGGCGGCAAAGAGGCAGCGAAGGACGACACGGAGCGCACAUCAUCGUCGUCGCUGAGGGCGCUUCUCGUGCUUAAGAACGGUACCAUUACGGGCAUCGCCCACUACCGCAACACCGAGCCCACACCGCUCAUUACGUGGUCGGCGCGCCAGCUGCAGUACUACAUUUUCACCAACUUCUCCGUCUCCGAGACGCUGAAGCUGAUGAUCCUGCUCGGGUUCUCGGCCGGGGCUUUGGUGCUCUUGCUGCUGAUGACCACGCUAUGUCGGUACCUGCGGCGGCCACGAAACAGCUGCGGCAGAUUCUAUUACUCUAGCGUAGCACCCUCACCUCAAGUGUCCCUCGUGACGCGGUGUUCGAAGAAGAGGGUGAAUAACCAGUGGAACAACAUAGAUAAGUAGGGGUGUGUCGUCGUUAGCCGUCAGUGAUUCCUCUUCUCAAAACACGCCUCUUUUCUUCUGUGUUGAAUAAGUGAGAACGCCGUACACGUAUCGCAGCAGAUGCUUGUAUCUGUUCUGUGCUGUGUGUGUGCGUCUCAUUUCUGUUGAGCCAGCCCGUGCUGCUUGUGCUCUUCUUCCUAUUUCCCUGCGUCUCCCUCUCUCCCUGCCCGUUGCUACUCCGCAAGCCCUCCCUCCCCCCAUUCCGAACGCCCGUCUGUCCGUGUAUGUGUGUGUAUGUUCCUUGAUAGUCUGUUUUACAUUUUUUUUUUCGUCGGUGGCCUCUGGGCGGGUACCGCUGCUGCUCCUCGCGUUCAUCCACCUCGAGGAACGGCAACAGCCACCGCCUCAGCCAUCCCUGUAUCCGCACAUCGUCCCAUGCUUAGUGCAUCUCGUGGCACGGUCACGCACACAAGAGAGAGUGGCACAGAGAUGAACUUCUCUCUCUGGUUCGAAUGAGCACACCCCGUGUGUAAGGGGUGGACAGUGUGCGCAGGAGUGCGUGUGCAUCCGGCCCGCAUGGGCUGUCGCAGUGGUUUUUCCCUUUUUUGUCUUCUGGCUCCCUUCCACGAUCGCCAUCCCAUCCCUCUUCUCGACGACACGGCCCAGCCAACAAUGUCAUCACCGCCCCUGUUCAUUCCGUACUUCGACUGCCAACUCUGCACUCCCCUCCUCUCCUUUCAG